rnacentral:rRNA from 1 species
CCUCAUGGAGGGCCGAACCGACUCCCGUUGAAAUGGUAGCGGAUGAGGUGUGGAUAGCGGAGAAAUUCCAAUCGAACUCGGAGAUAGCUGGUUCUCCUCGAAAUAGCUUUAGGGCUAGCCUUAAUUAGAUAACUUAUGGAGGUAGAGCACUGAAUGGACUAGGGGGCUUCACCGCCUACCGAAUCUUAUCAAACUGCGAAUGCCAUAAGUAAUAGAUUAGGAGUCAGACUGUGGGGGAUAAGCUUCAUGGUCAAAAGGGAAACAGCCCAGACCGCCAGUUAAGGUCCCAAAAUAAUGAUUAAGUGGAAAACGAUGUGAAAUCGCUCAGACAACCAGGAUGUUGGCUCAGAAGCAGCCAUCAUUUAAAGAGUGCGUAAUAGCUCACUGGUCCAGGGGUUUUGCGCGGAAAAUGUAACGGGGCUCAAAUCAUUUACCGAAGCUGCGGAAUGUGUGAGAGCACAUUGGUAGAGGAGCGUUCUUAACACGGAGAAGGCAUACCGGAAGGAGUGCUGGAGAGUUAAGAAGUGAGAAUGCAGGUAUAAGUAUGCGAAAAGGCAGGUGAGAAUCCUGCCCGCCGAAAAUCUAAGGAUUCCUGGGGAAGGCUCGUCCGCCCAGGGUAAGUCGGGACCUAAGGCGAGGCCGAAAGGCGUAGUUGAUGGAAAACUGGUAGAUAUUCCAGUACCACCUGAUAUUGCAUGAGAGAAGUAGUGACGCAGAAGGAUAGGCAGAGCGCCCAGUUGGUGAGGCGUUUAAGUAAGUAGGGUAUCAGAUAGGGAAAGCCGUCUGAUGUAGAGCCUGAGAUACGAAUACGAGGGAAAAAUAGUACCGAAGUCGCUGAUUCCCGGCUGCCAAGAAAAGCUGCUAUCGAGAUAGAGGGUGCCCGUACCGCAAACCGACACAGGUAGAUGGGGUGAGAAACCUAAGGCGCGCGAGAAAACUCUUGUUAAGGAACUCGGCAAAAUGACCCCGUAACUUCGGGAGAAGGGUUGCUUAUCAUGGUGAAGGUCAGACGACUGGAGCUGAGAUAAGUCGCAGAGAAAAGGUCCAGGCGACUGUUUAGCAAAAACACAGGUCAUUGCAAAAGUGAAAGCUGAAGUAUAAUGGCUGACGCCUGCCCGGUGCUGGAAGGUUAAGGGGAAGAGUGAGAGCUUUGAACCGAAGCCCCAGUAAACGGCGGCCGUAACUAUAACGGUCCUAAGGUAGCGAAAUUCCUUGUCGGGUAAGUUCCG